rnacentral:ncRNA from 1 species
UGUCUCCUCCACCCUCCGAAAAGGUGGAUUAGCCCCGAAUCGCAAGGUUCGGGGCUUUUUUC